rnacentral:rRNA from 1 species
GUAAAGAAGUCCCGGCUAACUCCGUGCCAGCAGCCGCGGUAAUACGGAGGGGACUAGCGUUGUUCGGAAUUACUGGGCGUAAAGCGCACGUAGGCGGACUGGAAAGUUGGGGGUGAAAUCCCGGGGCUCAACCCCGGAACUGCCUACAAAACUCCCAGUCUAGAGUUCGAGAGAGGUGAGUGGAAUUCCGAGUGUAGAGGUGAAAUUCGUAGAUAUUCGGAGGAACACCAGUGGCGAAGGCGGCUCACUGGCUCGAUACUGACGCUGAGGUGCGAAAGCGUGGGGAGCAAACAGGAUU